rnacentral:rRNA from 1 species
UCGGGAAUUUUGGGCAAUGGGCGAAAGCCUGACCCAGCAACGCCGCGUGAAGGAUGAAGUAUUUCGGUAUGUAAACUUCGUAAGAAUAGGAAGAAUAAAUGACGGUACUAUUUGUAAGGUCCGGCUAACUACGUGCCAGCAGCCGCGGUAAUACGUAGGGACCAAGCGUUGUUCGGAUUUACUGGGCGUAAAGGGCGCGUAGGCGGUGUGUCAAGUCAGUUGUGAAAUCUCCGAGCUUAACUCGGAACGGUCAACUGAUACUGUCACACUAGAGUACAGAAGGGGCAAUCGGAAUUCUUGGUGUAGCGGUGAAAUGCGUAGAUAUCAAGAGGAGCACCUGAGGCGAAGGCGGGUUGCUGGGCUGAUACUGACGCUGAGGCGCGAAAGCUAGGGUAGCAAACGGGAUUAGAUACCCCAGUAGUCCCUGAGCGGGCUGGCAAGGCGCAU